CCCUGCCCUGUAGAAUGCCCUCUUGAGAAUGGCAAGGACAUGUAAUUUGAUUCUAACUAAUAGAAAACAGCUAAGGUGAUGGCUUUCACUCUCAGGACUGUGUUACCUCAUAUGGCAAAAGUGAAGGGAUUUUACAGACAUUUUUUUCCGGAGCUGAUCUCACGAUGCUACACACAGUUGAAGCUGAGUAAUGUUGGUGGAACUGACUGACACGUGGGCCAGGGCACACUCUGAAAAGGUUUCUCUAGGGCUGGAAGGUAUGAAUAAGAACUCAGCAGGAAACAAAGUAGAAGAGUUUGAAUCAGGUCUGAAGAGCAAUGGAACAGGACCCCACAGAAUCCCACAACCUUUCAUGAGAGGAGCUCCAGAACCUCG